GACGAACGCUGGCGGCGUGCUUAACACAUGCAAGUCGAACGGAAAGGCCUCUUUCGGGGGGUACUCGAGUGGCGAACGGGUGAGUAACACGUGAGUAACCUGCCCUUGACUUUGGGAUAACUUCAGGCAACUGGGGCUAAUACCGGCUAGGAGCUCCUGCUGCCUGGUGGGGGUUGGAAAGUUUCGGCGGUUGGGGGUGGACUCGCGGCUUAUCAGCUUGUUGGUGGGGUAGUGGCUUACCAAGGCGUUGGCGGGUAGCCGGACUGAGGGGGUGACCGGCCGCCUUGGGUCUGAGGGGCGGCCCCGACUCCUACGGGUGGCAGAAGGGGGGAAUAUUGACGGAGGAGUGGAGGCCGGAUGCAGAAGCGCCGUGGGCGGGAUGACGGUCUUCGGGUUGUAGAACGCUUUCGCUCAUGACGAAGCUUUGUGUGACGGCAGUGGGUAAAGAAGCACCGGCUAACUACGUG
rnacentral:rRNA from 1 species